rnacentral:rRNA from 1 species
GACGAACCGUGCGAACGUUGUUCGGAAUCACUGGGCUUAAAGGGCGCGUAGGCGGGCUCGCCAGUCAGGGGUGAAAGCCUCCAGCUUAACUGGAGAAGUGCCUUUGAUACUGCGAGUCUCGAGGGAGGUAGGGGCGUGCGGAACUUCCGGUGGAGCGGUGAAAUGCGUAGAUAUCGGAAGGAACACCGGUGGCGAAAGCGGCGCGCUGGACCUCUUCUGACGCUGAGGCGCGAAAGCCAGGGGAGCAAACGGG